AGAGUUUGAUCCUGGCUCAGGAUGAACGCUGGCGGCGUGCUUAACACAUGCAAGUCGAACGGGGAACAUUUUAUGGAAACUUCGGUGGAAAUAGCUUGUUCCUAGUGGCGGACGGGUGAGUAACGCGUGGGUAACCUGCCUCACACUGGGGGAUAACAGUCAGAAAUGACUGCUAAUACCGCAUAAGCGCACGGGAUUGCAUGAUCCAGUGUGAAAAACUCCGGUGGUGUGAGAUGGACCCGCGUUGGAUUAGCCAGUUGGCAGGGUAACGGCCUACCAAAGCGACGAUCCAUAGCCGGCCUGAGAGGGUGGACGGCCACAUUGGGACUGGGACACGGCCCAGACUCCUACGGGAGGCAGCAGUGGGGAAUAUUGCACAAUGGGGGAAACCCUGAUGCAGCGACGCCGCGUGAAGGAAGAAGUAUCUCGGUAUGUAAACUUCUAUCAGCAGGGAAGAAAAUGACGGUACCUGACUAAGAAGCCCCGGCUAACUACGUGCCAGCAGCCGCGGUAAUACGUAGGGGGCAAGCGUUAUCCGGAUUUACUGGGUGUAAAGGGAGCGUAGACGGAGCAGCAAGUCUGAUGUGAAAGGCGGGGGCUCAACCCCUGGACUGCAUUGGAAACUGUUGAUCUUGAGUACCGGAGAGGUAAGCGGAAUUCCUAGUGUAGCGGUGAAAUGCGUAGAUAUUAGGAGGAACACCAGUGGCGAAGGCGGCUUACUGGACGGUAACUGACGUUGAGGCUCGAAAGCGUGGGGAGCAAACAGGAUUAGAUACCCUGGUAGUCCACGCCGUAAACGAUGAA
rnacentral:rRNA from 1 species